CCUACGGGAGGCAGCAGUGAGGAAUCUUGGUCAAUGGGAGAGAUCCUGAACCAGCAAAGCCGCGUGAGGGAAGACGGCCCUAUGGGUUGUAAACCUCUUUUGUCGGAGAACAAAACCCGGGACGUGUCCCGGCCUGCGUGUAUCCGAAGAAACAGCAUCGGCUAACACCGUGCCAGCGGCCGCGGUACUACGUGGGAUGCGAGCGUUAUCCGGAUUUAUUGGGUUUAAAGGGUGCGUAGGCGGUCCGUUAAUUCAGCGGUAAAAUUGCGGGGCUCAACCCCGUCGAGCCGUUGAAACUGGCAGACUUGAGUUGGCGAGAGGUACGCGGAAUGCGCGGUGUAGCGGUGAAAUGCAUAGAUAUCGCGCAGAACUCCGAUGGCGAAGGCAGCGUACCGGCGCCAGACUGACGCUGAGGCACGAAAGCGUGGGGAUCGAACAGGAUUAGAUACCCGAGUAGUC
rnacentral:rRNA from 1 species